rnacentral:rRNA from 1 species
GUGCCAGCAGCCGCGGUAAUACAGAGGGUGCGAGCGUUGUUCGGAAUUACUGGGCGUAAAGCGCGCGCAGGCGGCCUUUUAAGUCUGCUGGUGAAAUGCCGGGGCUCAACCCCGUGCCCGCCACAGAUACUGGGAGGCUGGAGACGAGUAGAGGCAAGCGGAAUUCCGGGUGUAGCGGUGGAAUGCGUAGAGAUCCGGAAGAACACCGGAGGCGAAGGCGGCUUGCUGGGCUCGGUCUGACGCUGAGGCGCGAAAGCGUGGGGAGCGAACAGGAUUAGAUACCCCUGUAGUCC